rnacentral:rRNA from 1 species
AUACGGAGGAUCCGAGCGUUAUCCGGAUUUAUUGGGUUUAAAGGGUGCGCAGGCGGCCAUUUAAGUCAGCGGUUAAAUCGUGGGGCUCAACCCCAUUCUGCCGUUGAUACUGGGUGGCUUGAUUGCGGUCGAGGUUGGCGGAAUUCGUUGUGUAGCGGUGAAAUGCACAGAUAUGACGAAGAACACCGAUUGCGUAGGCAGCUGACCAGAUCGCAAAUGACGCUCAUGCACGAAAGUGCGGGGAUCGAACAGGAUUAGAUACCCUGGUAGUCCGCACAGUAAACGAUGAAUACUUGUUUUCGGCGAUAUAAUGUCGGAGGCAAAGCGAAAGCGAUAAGUAUUCCACCUGGGGAGUACGCCGGCAACGGUGAAACUCAAAUGAAUUGGCGGGG